UCGAGCGCACUGGCCCAACUGAUAUGACGUGCUUGCACUGAAUUGACGUUGGAUUACCAGUGAGCGGCGGACGGGUGAGUAACACGUGGGCAACCUGCCCUGAAGCGGGGGAUAACAUCUGGAAACAGGUGCUAAUACCGCAUAACAACGAAAACCACAUGGUUUUCGUUUCAAAGAUGGUUUCGGCUAUCACUUCAGGAUGGGCCCGCGGUGCAUUAGCUAGUUGGUAAGGUAACGGCUUACCAAGGCGAUGAUGCAUAGCCGAGUUGAGAGACUGAUCGGCCACAAUGGAACUGAGACACGGUCCAUACUCCUACGGGAGGCAGCAGUAGGGAAUCUUCCACAAUGGGCGCAAGCCUGAUGGAGCAACACCGCGUGAGUGAAGAAGGGUUUCGGCUCGUAAAGCUCUGUUGUUGGAGAAGAACGUGCGUGAGAGUAACUGUUCACGCAGUGACGGUAUCCAACCAGAAAGUCACGGCUAACUACGUGCCAGCAGCCGCGGUAAUACGUAGGUGGCAAGCGUUAUCCGGAUUUAUUGGGCGUAAAGCGAGCGCAGGCGGUUGCUUAGGUCUGAUGUGAAAGCCUUCGGCUUAACCGAAGAAGUGCAUCGGAAACCGGGCGACUUGAGUGCAGAAGAGGACAGUGGAACUCCAGGUGUAGCGGUGGAAUGCGUAGAUAUAUGGAAGAACACCAGCGGCGAAGGCGGCUGUCUGGUCUGCAACUGACGCUGAGGCUCGAAAGCAUGGGUAGCGAACAGGAUU
rnacentral:rRNA from 1 species